UAGCGGCUGAAGACUCCCCCCGCGUUGCCGCCGUCCCGGUGUUCCCUGAUGGUGCUCUGCAGCUGAGGAGAAGUGAGAAAACCCAUCCACUUUUACAAAC